GAUGAACGCUGGCGGCGUGCCUAAUACAUGCAAGUCGAGCGAACAGACGAGGAGCUUGCUCCUCUGACGUUAGCGGCGGACGGGUGAGUAACACGUGGAUAACCUACCUAUAAGACUGGGAUAACUUCGGGAAACCGGAGCUAAUACCGUAUAAUAUAUUGAACCGCAUGGUUCAAUAGUGAAAUACGGUUUUGCUGUCACUUAUAGAUGGAUCCGCGCCGCAUUAGCUAGUUGGUAAGGUAACGGCUUACCAAGGCAACAAUGCGUAGCCGACCGGAGAGGGUGAUCGCCCACACUGGACCUGAGACCCGGCCCAGACUCCUCCGGGAGGCAGCAGUAGGGAAUCUUCCGCAAUGGGCGAAAGCCUGACGGAGCACCGCCGCGUGAGUGAUGAAGGUCUUCGGAUCGUAAGACUCUGUUAUUAGGGAAGAACAAUUGUGUAAGUAAAUAUGCACGUCUUGACGGUACCUAAUCAGAAAGCCACGGCUAACUACGUG
rnacentral:rRNA from 1 species